rnacentral:rRNA from 1 species
GAUCCUAGCUCAGGACGAACGCUGGCGGCGUGCUUAACACAUGCAAGUCGAACGAGAGCGUAGAGAAAGCUUGCUUUUUCUACAAUCUAGUGGCAAACGGGUGAGUAACGCGUAAACAACCUGCCCUACGGAUGGGGACAACAGCUGGAAACGGCUGCUAAUACCGAAUACGUUCCGAAAGUCGCAUGACUAUCGGAAGAAAGGAUGGCCUCUAUUUAUAAGCUAUCGCCGGAGGAGGGGUUUGCGU